CUCGUCAUGAAUUUUUCCUCCUUCAGCACUAAUUAAGUUCAAGAGUGGACGAGACGUGUCUGUGCUCAUACGGAUUCAUUCAUUCAGUUCCAUCAUCAGUGAAGCAGGUGGAGCAGAAACAUCCUGGAAACAUCUCAGCACUGCUAAUUACAUCCUUCCUUCAGGUUUUUAAGGUUCCUUUAAGUUCAGUGUAUCAGACUAAUGGAUUUACAAGUGCUCUAGCCAUGCUGUAUUGCUGGGUCAAUUUGAUCCAUAUUAAUUGCUUCAAAAUUAUUUCUGCUAUUUGGUGAAUUGGUCUGCUCUUUCUUCUCAUUUAGGGUCAUGAAUGUGCAUGCAAGUUUAUAGAUGUGUUUCGGAAAGGCGGUACACAUUUUUAAACUUUUGACCCCCAUUGUUUUCCUUGUUAUUUGCCAAAAAUCAACACUAAAAAGCAGAAAACCUUUAUUGUAACUUGUCAAAGACUAAUAUAUGAAAUACAUGAGAACUUACAAAAUGUAAGACUUGAAAUUGAGACUCAUCUUCUGAAUCCAAUAUUGCAAAUAUUUCAUAAUUAUAGUAGAUGUUUUUAGUGUUCGAUUCUCAUUUGAAGACUCUUAAGAAUGUGAAAUAGAUGUUAUUUUAUAUUAAUACUUCAGAUUUUGGAGACUGUGUUUUUUUUUUAUGUCAGUGUUGUCAUGACUUCGUUGCCCACAGGUCCAGCUUGAUCGGUCACGUGACUUUCAGAGCUCAGAUGAUUGGCUCAAAACUAUCAAAAAGAUUGUGUCCAAGUUUCAGAGAGACACAGCUUCACAGCUUGAGUCACAGUGUUAUUCUGAUGGAUGUGGGUGCAGCAGACGGGCUUCAUCACCGUCUGUGGGAUGGUGGGUGUCUGCUGGCCGCUCGAUGACGUGCCGUCCUCAAGAGUUUGGAGCUGGGUGGAGUAAGUGAAUGAGGUGUUUUCUCAUGUUCCUGUUGUUCAGACGGGAGGUCGUGGGUUUGAUUCCCAGGGAAUGCAUUAACCGCUACACCUUCAAUUCAAUGCAAGUCUGUUUGGAAAGAAGCAUGUGCAAAAUGCACCAGUGUAAAUGUAAUGUCACAUGCACAGAAAAACUAUAUGUAUGUAUGUAUAUGAU
ensembl:lncRNA